AAAACAUUGUUUCAUGAAUAAAAUAUGAAAUAAUACCUGCCCAGUGACACAUUUGUUCAACGGCCGCGGUAUCCUAACCGUGCAAAGGUAGCAUAAUCACUUGCCUAUUAAUUGUAGGCUAGAAUGAAGGGGUUAACGAAAUAAAGACUGUCUCAAUUAAUUAGCUAAAAAUUAUUUUCUACCUGAAGAAAGUUAGAUAAACUCGAAGGACAAGAAGACCCUAUAGAGCUUAAUUUUAAUUAUAGAACUAAUCUAUAAAAAUAUUCGGUUGGGGCGACCCAGGGCUAAAUAAUCACCCACCCUAUAAAAGAUAUAUUAAUCAAGUAAGUGACCCUUAAAGAUCACAAAACCAAGCUACCUUAGGGAUAACAGGCUAAUCCCACUUAAGAGUCCUUAUCAACAGUGGGGAUUGGCACCUCGAUGUUGGCUUAGGGUAUCCAUAUAGCGCAAAAGUUAUAUAAAGAUGGUUUGUUCAACCAAUGACACCCUACGUGAUC
rnacentral:rRNA from 1 species